rnacentral:rRNA from 1 species
GUCCUACGGGAGGCAGCAGUGGGGAAUAUUGCACAAUGGGCGAAAGCCUGAUGCAGCAACGCCGCGUGAGGGACGACGGCCUUCGGGUUGUAAACCUCUUUUAGUAGGGAAGAAGCGAAAGUGACGGUACCUGCAGAAAAAGCACCGGCUAACUACGUGCCAGCAGCCGCGGUAAUACGUAGGGUGCAAGCGUUAUCCGGAAUUAUUGGGCGUAAAGAGCUCGUAGGCGGUCUGUCGCGUCUGCUGUGAAAACUGGAGGCUCAACCUCCAGCCUGCAGUGGGUACGGGCAGACUAGAGUGCGGUAGGGGAGAUUGGAAUUCCUGGUGUAGCGGUGGAAUGCGCAGAUAUCAGGAGGAACACCGAUGGCGAAGGCAGAUCUCUGGGCCGUAACUGACGCUGAGGAGCGAAAGCGUGGGGAGCAAACAGGAUUAGAUACCCUUGUAGUC